CGGUUUAAUCUCUCCGGCGACCAUUUUUGGUUGCUGUCCUUGCUAUUUCCUAGUGCCGGCAGCCGACCACUUUGCCCUAGAUUCCUUCACACAGUAACCAUAGUGCUCUGCUCACUUUGGUGCCCUAAUUGUGAUCUGGAAGGAAGGGAGGUUUUGUGAUUGUGAAGAUGCUCUUUGGUUCCAGUAGUGCAGAUUCUUGAUUGUGGAUCGAAGGAUAAGGACUGUGAGGUGAAAUUUAGUGCUGUAGAUCAACAAGUGCGGUUGUGAGAUUCUGUUCUGUUCUCUUCUGUGGUGUUCUUGAUUUCAGCUCACUUUGUUCAAGCAACACUCCUUUCCGCCAGUUCCUCUUUGGCUGCUGAUUAAGAACAGAAAUCUGUGAUUUGAGGUCUUUGACGCGAGACGGGUAUCUCGAUUAUUGGAUUGGAAAGCUAUUUUGGAGGCGGGUAC